rnacentral:lncRNA from 1 species
GUUUUGUAAGGGGCUCUUCCCGCUUUGCUCGACACUUCUCCUUCCUGCAGCCUGUGAAGAAGGUGCCUUGCUUCCUCUUUGCCUUCCACCAUGAUUAUAAGUUUCCUGAAGCCCCCAGCCAUGCUGAACUUUCCAUUUUAGAUCACUUCAUACUCAUUCUUGGAAGAAAGGCCUGAGGAAACAGGCUUCUCCCACUUGCCAAGCACCAGAGUGAAAGCCAUCACUCCCCAUCCAGAGGCUUUGCUUUCCUGACCUCCAAAGACACAUCCCUUCCAUGUGCGUCCAGUGAAGAGCAACAUCGGGUCAUAGUCACCUUCUGAUGCUUACUUUGCUGACAUUCAAGAGACAGAAUUGCUUUCGCCAAGAAAUCUACAUAUACAAGGAAGAUCCUACUUAAAACAAUUAUCUAGAAGGGUUGACUACCUUGCCAUCUAGUCAGCUGAGAGUGGUAUGAUAUGGUAUUUAACUUUGGUCCAGUGAACCUGCUCUUAAGUGUUUGACUUUUUAGGCAAAAUUGCUAUGUGAUUAUCAGUUUUUGCCUGAGUAAAACUGACUAUCGCAGAGAUAUUUCCAUUAUUGACUAUUA